GACAGCAGUCGCCGCGGGAAUACGGAGGGUGCAAGCGUUAAUCGGAAUUACUGGGCGUAAAGCGCACGCAGGCGGUCUGACAAGUCAGAUGUGAAAUCCCCGGGCUUAACCUGGGAACUGCAUUUGAAACUGUCAGGCUGGAGUCUUGUAGAGGGGGGUGGAAUUCCAGGUGUAGCGGUGAAAUGCGUAGAGAUCUGGAGGAAUACCGGUGGCGAAGGCGGCCCCCUGGACAAAGACUGACGCUCAGGUGCGAAAGCGUGGGGAGCAAACAGGAUUAGAUACCCCGGUAGUCCCUGUCUCUUAUAC
rnacentral:rRNA from 1 species